rnacentral:rRNA from 1 species
UACGUAGGGUGCAAGCGUUUAAUCGAAAUUACUGGGCGUAAAGCGUGCGCAGGCGGUGAUGUAAGACAGAUGUGAAAUCCCCGGGCUCAACCUGGGAACUGCAUUUGUGACUGCAUCGCUGGAGUACGGCAGAGGGGAUGGAAUUCCGCGUGUAGCAGUGAAAUGCGUAGAUAUGCGGAGGAACACCGAUGGCGAAGGCAAUCCCCUGGGCCUGUACUGACGCUCAUGCACGAAAGCGUGGGGAGCAAACAGG